rnacentral:lncRNA from 1 species
CUCCAGUAGCCACCGCGCCUAGAUCUCGGCCGCCGACCCUCACCGACGUGUCCCGGUGCGAUUUUUUUUUUCUUUCGAUUUCCUUCUCGUUGUGUCGAUUUCUCGAGGAUCCCGGCUCGGAGGAGCGCGAGAUGACCGGACGUAAUGCGAUCUAUGGAGCUCGCUCUCAUUCGCCGCUGCCGACCUGGGUAGGGACCUCCAUCGGCCGCCCCCUAUUUUCCCCAUUUUGCGCCCUGCUUUUGUUUUGUUCUCUCAUGUUUUUGCACUACCUACUGAGCCGGGGCGUGCGUUUCGGGUUCGCUUAUGCUGUCCUUCAUUGAUGUUGAGCAUUCCCUGCGGAUACGUGUUGAGCAUUGAUCCAGUUUUGAGUCCUGUUUCUUGUCUGUGGCUGCCUUUCAUUUGACGCACCCCAAGUGUUCGAUAUAAUGCCUCAUUUAGUGUUAAUCUAAAAUGAGACGGAGGCUUCGUCUAUUUCUGUCAAAGCGCACUUUGGGUUUGUAUGAAGUAUUUUCGUUGACUAGAGAUUUCGUCUGAUUGAUGUAAGGAUGAACUCGACACCAUAAACGUCAGUUCCUUGGUGUGCCUCACUGCUUUUAGUCGGACACGCAAGACUCGCUCGAUGAAAUGC